rnacentral:tRNA from 1 species
AGCCGAUUAGCUCAGUGGCAAGAGCGUCUGCCCGACACGCAGAAAGUCAAAGGUUCAAUUCCUUUAUCGGUUACCA